UGAAUGUUGUGCCAUCAGUCAUGACCAUUUCGUUUUUGUUCGCGUAGACAAUACAAGACCACUUAGAUGCGUUUUGCUUCCUUGAUCGCUAAAAAGGAUCCUUCCAUUCAUGUUCCCCAGUAACUAUAUUAUGAGCGUGGGAACAGACACGAUAUGCGGCUGUUUGAAAACCUUCGCUUGAUUUUUCAGGCGGCGGUAUGCAUUCAGAUGUGCGCAUGGCUAUAGACGACGGAUUUUUCGGUUCUUGAGCAUCGUUACCACAAGGUUCCACGUGCACUUCGCAAUGUGUCACAUGAGAACUGCGCCGUGACGCUGUCCUUUCAAGCCCGGCGCAGUGGCCGAGAGGUCAUCACCGCUGUCGCACAAGAGCCGACGUAGGAAGCCGUUCUGCUUCAUUCGACAAGGGAAAAGCCACGCAAUGCGGCUGUUUUACGAAGAUCGCUUCUUUUCCCAGUGAUACGAUGUGAGUGGCUCCGCUGCCAAGGACCUCAACGAGCAGCGAAAGCUCAUUCUCACAAUUGGCUGGGUUCAACGCCAUUGCGAUGACACGCUUGCCUGGACAUGACAAUGGGCCGCAGUGGUCUGUUUGCAAUGCCAAUACAAGAUAUCCUGAACAAGGACUUGCUAAGCCUGACACCCUUAGUUGUCUGUUGCCAUCACAGCGUUAUUGCGUACGAUUACAACUUCGACCACUGCUUCAGAUUUUUUGCAAGCUCCAACCAUGGUACGAGGCCUCUAGCUGUAAAUAUUGGGCUGGGCACGAUAUUCACCUUUGCUGUCGUAUCAGUGGGGCCUCGUUGCAACAUGCCAUUCCAUUUGAUACGCCAACUUGUAGAGACGUUCUUCCUUUCGUUGGCAAACCUGAAAUGCCUCAGUCCUACUGAACGGAGACCGAAGCAAGCAAACCGGCUGGGUUCAGGCGGAAUUCUUCCGAUGUCACUUUACAGAAUUAGGUCACUUGGUAAUUUGCAGCACGUUUCGCACAUGAGAAAUUCAAUAUCGCAGUUACAAUAAUAAAAAAAUAACUAACUAGCCACCAUCUGUGAUUGAGCGCCUGUGAUCGGUGUGCGACCUUUGCUUAGUUCAUCUGUCUCUUGUUUUCGCGGUUCUUGCUCAAUUUGUCGCGUACACGUAAGUCAGAAAGCGGUGUAAUGUUUGACAAGAGUUGUUUAGAUACCAAAGCAAUUUCUCUUUUUCGAAAGUAUACAAGUAUGACAGGCGCCAUUCAAUGCACGCGUGUAUCUUUAGAUUAUCUUUCAUUAGCGACGGCAGGCUUUAAGAUUAUUUACUAAAUAGACGAGCAAUCCUAACAUGAUGGGUGCUUACCUUCACGACCAAUUAUCAUUUCUACUACACGCACCUAUAAAGAAUAACUCGUGUUAGUUCCACUAGUGUGCCUCAGAAUAAUGACACGAAAAUGGGGGAACUAAUGUAAGACGAAGAAGCCAGUGUAUUGAGUUGCCAACGCUUUUUAGUGAAAGCGGCCGUGCCAUUUGACGUGUGUACGCUCGCAUAAAUACCGUAGCCUGCUUGUGUAUCAUACAGGGGCAUUCGGGCAUGUAGAUGUCCUUCUAACGAUGCUGUGUGUACAAAAUGCUGUGUGCUGACUUGCCCGUCAUAUUGGAAAAUUUUUGGAAGGCUUGAAAUGUCUUUGGAAAGACUAUUUUUUCAAGCAUUUCUGAUGUAGGUUCUCUUCCUGCUUAGUACACUCGGUAAACGCUGAGCGUCCUGACUUUAGAGAAGUGAUCACCGCUAGCAAACAAUCCAACGUAAAUGCAUGUUAAAAGGCCAAAUUAAAAUGUAUCAAGCAUCUCAACGUGCCUUCUUUCCCGCUAGCAGUUCAUAACACGAAAAAUCGUUCAGUGGGGUUUAAUUGGAUAUUAAUGCUUUCGCACUCACAGCUAUUAAGAAGUACCUAGGUGCGCUCUCAUAUUUAUAUUUGCAUUUCUUUUGUCAUGUUGUUUUCAUCAUCUACUUUUUUGGUUAUUGAAGUUAAUUCUUGUUAACUUCGCAUAUGCCAUCUUGUUAAUUGCAUUUUGUUACUAUUUUGUUUUUGAAAGUUCAUCAGUUGUGUUUUGUUCGGAUGGUUUUUGUUUCGCUGUUCAUCUGUUGUUCUUAAAACGGCCUCGAGGAUUAGUUUUUCCCUGUCGUAUCAAUUAUUUUUUGCCAGUAGAAGAUAGCGUGCACACUUCGUGUUAGUGCUAGUAAUAUGAUUUUCUAAUGUUUGCACAAUGUCACGCAUGCGAUGAGGUUGCCUGUACAAGAGCUUUCCAAUGUUUUUUUUUUUUUAAAUAAAGAUGGUAGUCUGCGUUCUUUCGGGUCGUUUCUUGUUUUCUUAUGCAUCUUGUGCAGCACGUUAUAAUUUAAA